ACGGGAGGCAGCAGUGGGGAAUAUUGCACAAUGGGCGAAAGCCUGAUGCAGCGACGCCGCGUGAGCGAAGAAGUAUUUCGGUAUGUAAAGCUCUAUCAGCAGGGAAGAUAAUGACGGUACCUGACUAAGAAGCACCGGCUAAAUACGUGCCAGCAGCCGCGGUAAUACGUAUGGUGCAAGCGUUAUCCGGAUUUACUGGGUGUAAAGGGAGCGUAGGCGGUCGUACAAGUCUGAUGUGAAAGCCCGGGGCUCAACUCCGGUACUGCAUUGGAAACUGUAUGGCUAGAGUGUCGGAGGGGUAAGUGGAAUUCCUAGUGUAGCGGUGAAAUGCGUAGAUAUUAGGAGGAACACCAGUGGCGAAGGCGGCUUACUGGACGAUUACUGACGCUGAGGCUCGAAAGCGUGGGGAGCAAACAGGAUUAGAUACCCUGGUA
rnacentral:rRNA from 1 species